rnacentral:rRNA from 1 species
UACGGGGGGGGCAAGCGUUGUUCGGAAUUACUGGGCGUAAAGGGCUCGUAGGUGGCCAACUAAGUCAGACGUGAAAUCCCUCGGCUUAACCGGGGAACUGCGUCUGAUACUGGAUGGCUUGAGAUUGGGAGAGGGAUGCGGAAUUCCAGGUGUAGCGGUGAAAUGCGUAGAUAUCUGGAGGAACACCGGUGGCGAAGGCGGCAUCCUGGACCAACACUGACACUGAGAAGCGAAAGCCAGGGGAGCAAACGGG